rnacentral:misc_RNA from 1 species
AAGGAUCAUUAGAAAGUUUCUCGAACAGAAACCCCCCCGUGUACCUCUUCCAACUUUGCUUCCCGCGCUUCCGGGCGCGGGCAGAGACCACCCCUUCCAAACCCUUCCGGAACAGAAGUCUGACACGAGGAAAGACAGUAAAAGUUAAAACUUUCAACAACGGAUCUCUUGGUUCUC